CACAGCUCUUUAUUCGCCGCAGGCUAACGCAUCUGAACGCGUCAACCGGUCCAUUAUUGCAAGUAUUCGGGCAUAUCUGAAGAAAGAUCAACGUCUAUGGGAUGAAUACUUGUCGUAUAUUAGUUGUUCCUUAAGGAAUUCUCUCCACCAAACCCUUAAAUGUUCCCCAUAUUUUGCCACAUUUGGAUUUAACAUGGUCACCCAUGGAGAUACCUACGCUCUCUUGAAAAACCUGCAAUUACUUGAUGAACCCCAGCUAAAUCUUUCUAAAGAAGAUCAGCUUCAACUUCUUCGGAAGGACCUUCGAAGUAGUAUUUCGGCCGCACAUGAAAAUAAUAAAGACCAUUACAAUUUACGCACUAGAUCCAUAAGUUAUACUGUUGGCCAAACUGUUUUCAGACGCAAUUUUGCACAAAGCAAUGCGGAAAAGAAAUUUAACGCUAAACUUGCUCCCAUUUUUCUACCAGCCAAAGUCCGGAAAAAAAAUUGGAAACGUUUAUUACGAAUUGGAGGACUUAAAUGGUAAUCUUAUCGGGACUUACCACGCCAAAGACAUAAGGUCAUAAUUAUUCUGAUUCCGAUUAAUAUCGUAAUUCAAAGAUCGAUAUUACUCGGUUUUGUGAGAAACUACGCUCCGACAAUAACUCACCUAGCCAAUGGUAUUAAAAUUGUGUGCUGGGAUACUACUGCUCAUUUGCCCUACAUUUUUUUGCGUUAUAUUUUGCAUCACUAUUUUGUUAUCUCUUAAUGGAAAAUGUAACAGGAAAUGUAACCAAUCUGCUAAUCCCAGUAUUGUGUCAAUCCGGCCACACAUGCAGUGUUAGCGCAGAGGAAGCGUGCUGGACUCCGGGGCGUAAGGACCUGUGAUCAAUUCCCGGUUAGAACAAACUAUUUUUAUUUUGUAAAACUAAAUAUUUUUUUUUUUACGAUAUUACGGUUUUGGAUAAGAGGCGGAGCUAUUAAUUCCGAGCUAUGUAGUAGUAACUAACGGUCCGUCUAAAGUAUAAAUUACGUGUGUAUUGUCAAUUAAAUUCGCCGUAAUAUUGCAUGUUGGUGGUGAAAAUCAAAUACCACGAAUUUGGCACUCUCCUCAGUUGUAACAAAUCGACAAUCAUUCUUUUGCUUCCUCGUUCUGAUAGUGUGAACAACAAUUAAGCGAAGAGAAAAAAAAAACCAACUCAUUUUUGCUUGUUUUAAACUUAACAAAAAGUGCAUAUAAAUCCGUAAAUAUCAAAGAAAUCCGGAAACUUUAUGUAAAAUUGGUUCCACAAUUUGCUUGGAAAACACAACUAAACUGUAUUUCAAGGUAUUUUUUAAGCGCUACAAAUAAGCAGGAUUGAAAAAACUAACAAAAAGUUAUUUAAAAGGUUUCUCCAAAAAAAAAAGACCUCUGAUUUUUUUUUCGAAGUCCAUCGACUUCACUAAACCAAAAGAGUAAUAAAUUAAAAACAAGAUUUUCCACAAUUGUCCUUAUCCAGUUAACAAGAUUUACCGCCAGUUGGAACAUCAUUUUCACCUUUUUUGCUUUGGACAAUUUUUUCUACUAUCUUAAUUACUACCGACGGCAAAACCGUUUUUUCCUUGGAAAUCUAUCAACAGUUGGAAAUUGUGUAAAACCGGCCAUUGUGUAAGGCUACAUGCCUUCAGCCAAGCUUUACGACCUCACAUAGACAAAUCCGAUUUCUUAAAAUAACUUCUCAACCGAGUGACGGAGUGUUCCGAUGAUUGAACCAAGGUCGUGGCUGUAAAUACACAAAACCUAUUUAUAAAACACCGUGUCCAAACACCGGCGGUAGCCCAGGGCGUAGGAAGCUGGCUUUGUUCGCCGUCUAGAAACCAGUAACGUGGGUUCGAAUCCCACCUCCGGCAGUAUUACAAUUUGUAUUUAUAAAAUUUGUGAAAUCAAGUCAGAUAAGUUCUUUUAAAUUAUUAUAUCAUAAUUUCUAUGAAUUUCUCCUGAACAUAUGCAAUACAUUUCAAAUGAUUAACUAUUACUACUUCUAAUCCUACAGAGAAAAUAAGCAUUAUCCUUCCUUCACACAACAACACAUACAAAGAUGUUCUACGAGGCCUCGUCGAUCACACCAAUGUAAUGUAUGUAGCUGUCCAGAUCUUUAAGAAAACACAAAAACAAGAGAAAAACUCAAAAAAAUAAGAAA